rnacentral:rRNA from 1 species
UACGUAGGGCGCGAGCGUUGUCCGGAAUUAUUGGGCGUAAAGAGCUCGUAGGCGGCUUGUCGCGUCGGAUGUGAAAGCCCGGGGCUUAACCCCGGGUCUGCAUUCGAUACGGGCAGGCUAGAGUUCGGUAGGGGAGAUCGGAAUUCCUGGUGUAGCGGUGGAAUGCGCAGAUAUCAGGAGGAACACCAACGGCGAAGGCAGCUCGCUGGGACGGUACUGACGCUAAGGCGCGAAAAGCGUGGGGAGCGAACAGG